GAACCGAGCGAACGUUGUUCGGAAUCACUGGGCUUAAAGGGCGCGUAGGCGGGCUGCCGCGUCCGGGGUGAAAUCCCACGGCUCAACCGUGGAACUGCCCCGGAUACGGGCGGCCUCGAGGGGGGUAGGGGCAUCUGGAACUGUGAGUGGAGCGGUGAAAUGCGUUGAUAUUCACAGGAACUCCGGUGGCGAAGGCGAGGUGCUGGACCCUUCCUGACGCUGAGGCGCGAAAGCCAGGGGAGCAAACGGGAUUAGAUACCCCGGUAGUCCUGGCCCUAAACGUUGGGAACUAGGUAGUAGCCCGGACAUGGGGUUACUGCCGGAGCCAAAGUGCUAAGUUCCCCGCCUGGGGAGUAUGGUCGCAAGGCUGAA
rnacentral:rRNA from 1 species